rnacentral:rRNA from 1 species
UACGUAGGGGGGCAAGCGUUGUCCGGAUUUAUUGGGCGUAAAGAGCGUGUAGGCGGCCAGACAAGUCUGCUGUGAAAACUCGAGGCUCAACCUCGAGCUGUCGGUGGAAACUGUCUGGCUAGAGUCCGGAAGAGGAGAGUGGAAUUCCUGGUGUAGCGGUGAAAUGCGCAGAUAUCAGGAAGAACACCUAUGGCGAAGGCAGCUCUCUGGGACGGUACCGACGCUGAGACGCGAAAGCGUGGGGAGCGAACAGG